rnacentral:tRNA from 1 species
GCUCCCAUGGCGUAGUGGUCACUGCACUCGCCUUGCACGCGGGAGACCCGGGUUCGAUUCCCAGCAGGGUCA